AUGGGCCUCCUGCUCUCGAAGGAGCCGCGCCGCCGCCCGCGCCAGAAGCGGCCCCGCUGCGGCAGCUGGUGGCGCCGCCGCCGCCGGCCUCUCCUCAGGUGGCCCCGCGGGGCCCCGGCCAAGGCGGCGGCGGCGCCCCGGGGCCGGGACUGCCUCUUCCGCGGGCCCUGCAUGCUCUGCCUCGUCGUGCACGGCCCCGGCGCGCCCGCCCCCGCCGGCCCGGAGGAGGAGCCGCCGCUGUCGUCGCCGCGGCCGCUCGGGGCCUACGGCGCGGCCGCCUCCUCACAGCCCCCGGCGCGGCGCCGCGCGGGCCUGGCCGCUGAGGACGCCGCGCGCCGCCUUCUGCUCUCGGCCGCCGCCGCCGUCGCCGCGCCGCCCGCCCCCGGCCGCGGGGAGCUGGGGCCGGCCGCCGCCGCCGCCCGGGAGCGGCCGGCCCGGAGCCUCCUGUGGGCCCGCGCGGGGCCCGUGCGUCCGCCCGCGCCGCCCGCCGCCUCGCGGCUCUUCCGGGCGCCGCCGGCCGAGCCCCCCGCGCCCCCCGAGAUGGUGUGCAAGCGGAAGGGGGCCGGGGUCCCCGCCUGCACCCCCUGUAAGCAGCCCCGCUGCGGCGGGGGCGCCUGCGGCGGAGGCGGCGGCGGCGGCGGGCCUGCGGGCGGCGGCCCCGAGCAGCACCCCCCGCCGCCGCUCCGCGCCCCGCGCUCCCCCGCCGCUCCGGGAGGGGCCCCCGCGGAGGCCGGCGGGGACGCGGUCCGAGCGGGGGGCGCCGCCCCCUCGGUCGCCCGGCAGCAGCAGCACGAGUGCGGCGACGCCGACUGUCCGGAGGGCCCCGAUCCGCCGUGCGACUGCCACAGGGAGCCGCCCCCCGACGCCCCGGACAUCAACCAGCUGCCGCCCUCCAUCCUGCUUAAGAUAUUUUCCAAUUUAUCUCUGGAUGAACGUUGCCUUUCUGCAUCAUUGGUUUGCAAGUACUGGCGUGACCUUUGCUUAGAUUUCCAGUUUUGGAAGCAGCUGGAUCUUAGUAGUCGUCAGCAGGUCACUGAUGAAUUAUUGGAAAAAAUUGCAUCAAGAAGUCAAAAUAUAAUUGAAAUCAACAUUUCUGAUUGUCGCAGUAUGUCUGAUACUGGCGUAUGUGUUCUAGCAUUUAAAUGUCCUGGACUUCUUAGGUAUACAGCUUACAGGUGUAAACAGCUUUCUGACACCUCUAUUAUUGCAGUUGCCUCUCACUGUCCUUUACUUCAGAAAGUUCAUGUAGGCAACCAGGACAAACUGACUGAUGAAGGACUCAAACAGCUGGGGUCGAAAUGCAGAGAACUGAAAGAUAUCCAUUUCGGCCAGUGUUACAAGAUCUCAGAUGAAGGCAUGAUCGUCAUAGCUAAGGGCUGUCUGAAAUUACAGAGAAUAUACAUGCAGGAAAACAAACUAGUGACGGACCAGUCGGUGAAGGCGUUUGCUGAGCACUGUCCUGAGCUGCAGUGCGUGGGCUUCAUGGGUUGUUCGGUUACUUCUAAAGGAGUCAUUCAUCUAACCAAGCUAAGAAACCUUUCCAGCUUGGACCUACGUCAUAUCACUGAACUGGAUAAUGAAACCGUGAUGGAAAUUGUCAAGAGGUGCAAAAAUCUUAGCUCUCUCAAUCUCUGCCUGAACUGGAUUAUAAAUGACAGGUGUGUGGAGGUUAUCGCCAAGGAAGGACAGAACCUGAAAGAGCUGUAUUUGGUGUCCUGUAAAAUCACAGAUUACGCUCUGAUAGCCAUCGGGCGAUACAGCAUGACAAUAGAGACUGUGGACGUCGGCUGGUGCAAAGAGAUCACGGACCAAGGGGCCACCCUGAUUGCACAGAGCAGCAAGUCUUUAAGAUACUUGGGGCUGAUGAGAUGUGAUAAAGAGAUGGUCUGUGCUGCGAAGGGGAGAAAACGGAGCUCAGAAGGACCAGACACUGGCCCCAUGCCCCCCAUCCAGGGUGGCACCCCAGAUCUUCAAGCCUAUGGCCAGUGCCCAGGGCCCACCGCAGGGACUGUCUCCAGAGAAGGGGGUGCUUCCUUGGAAAAGACCCACCUCAGCUACUCGCUCUGA
rnacentral:lncRNA from 1 species